GUAAAUUAGUGGCCUCCUCCUCUUUCGCCUUCCCUAACCGAAAAAUACCGCCCACUUUAGAUAGGCUAUAUAAGCGGCGCUCUUCCAUCUCCGUCUCCCAGAUCACAAAAAUCCACUGCCGCCGCGUCCUUAUCUUCUUUCUACUUCACCUCUUAAGAUCCAUCCAUCUUGAUCCCGUCUGUUGUUCUCUGGUCACGCCGCCGGUGGCCUCGCGAUGCACCGCGCCUCCGCCCUCACCUCCUCCUGCUGCCCCCAUGCGCCUGGCCAUGGGAUCACUGGUUGCUGACGUUCUACUGUGGCGCCACGCCCCCAACGGCCAACCUACUGCUGUAGAGGACGGAGGAGUUGACCUGUGGUCGGCUGCCUUGCGCAACCUGGAUCCUGAGCGCGAUCGCGCCCCUCUCCCCGUCUAGAGUUUUUUAUUCCAUUCAAGCUACUCUGGUAGUUGGAUGCUCGCGUCCAAGACCUGCAUGACUGCAGGUGAUUACGAAAUAGUUUCCCAACUUCUCUGUUUUAGCUACCUACAAGAAAGGAUAUCUAUCCAACGCAUGCAUCAUUAGUCCAACAUAAAAUUUCCACACCCAAGGUCAUCUGUGAUCGGAGGAACACUUUAUGUACAGACACGUGAAAGUGAAACUGAAGAGCUAUGUAACUACUCUAUGUAAUAUGUGCUUUUAUUUUUGACAAGGUAUGUUAAUUAUAUGAGAUGACCACUAACUUGAUUUUUUUCAGAGGUAUGGAUCUGUUAUUUUAGU